AUUGAACGCUGGCGGCAUGCCUUACACAUGCAAGUCGAACGGUAACGCGGGCAACCUGGCGACGAGUGGCGAACGGGUGAGUAAUGCAUCGGAACGUGCCCAGUAGUGGGGGAUAGCCCGGCGAAAGCCGGAUUAAUACCGCAUACGACCUACGGGUGAAAGCGGGGGACUCGCAAGAGCCUCGCGCUAUUGGAGCGGCCGAUGUCAGAUUAGGUAGUUGGUGGGGUAAAAGCCUACCAAGCCGACGAUCUGUAGCUGGUCUGAGAGGACGACCAGCCACACUGGGACUGAGACACGGCCCAGACUCCUACGGGAGGCAGCAGUGGGGAAUUUUGGACAAUGGGCGCAAGCCUGAUCCAGCCAUGCCGCGUGCGGGAAGAAGGCCUCGGUU
rnacentral:rRNA from 1 species